GGGAGAUGGUAGCUCUGUAAGCCGUUUCCUAGUGGCCCCAGUGGAAUUCAUUCCAAGCGAGUGGGAGUUAUAAGGACGCGAAAGGACCAAGGCCACUAUUUGGGGAGUCUGACGAAGGAGUUGUAGCACUCCUGGAGGAAAGAAGGAAGUCAAGGCUUAGCAGCCGAGGUGGACCAGCUGGUGUUUUCACAAUCUGCAGAGACAUACAGGGAAGGACGAUGGGGGGACGACAUGGUGGAAAAUAUUCAAUGUCAUACCACGGAUGUACAGAAGAAGAAAGAAAUCCUAUUUGGAACUGAAGUCAGCCAGUUGGAAUUUUCAGAAGGAAAUCCUGGCAGCCCGCGGUGUUUGAGGCAUUACAUAAACAUCUGAUACUUGACUCAGUAACUAUCAGCACUUGGUGUCAGCAUAUAAAUGUUGGGUUGGAAAAGUAGACAAAUUGAUUUUCCAUUCCUCUCAUUCUAGUUUCUUCCUUUCAUUGAUGCUGUAGUCAUGGAUCUUAUUACUAGCAUAACAGUCAGUAAUAUACACAUGUUAUUUCUCUGGUUAAAGAAUAAUUCUUUUCAAAGCUCUAUAAUGUGAUAAACUGACCCUGAAUUAUGACCAUAAAAAUAAUAAUUUACUCUUUUCUCCAAAGCUAUCAAAAAAUUCUCAAGCUCUAUAACCUAUAAACUGUCUAACCUUAAGCCAUUGUUAUAUAUUUUUCACAUUUUAUGAGUUAAAAUAGACUUGAGAGUUAAGAAGAGGAAAGUAUUGGUCCAUCUACUUCCCUGCCUGGAAUAUUAAGGGUCAGAGAGGUUAACUUAUCUGCUCAAGGUGAAAAAAAUAGAAAGCAGGUCUAGAUUGCAAUUAAUUGUAUCUCCUCAUUACUUUUAUUUUCUCUCUCAGAAUCACAUUUUUGUAUUCCAGUAUAAAUAUUGAGUUUGAACGCAUGAAAAUCAUUUUUCUGGUAUGUGACAGGGCAGUUGGAUUUUGUUUUCCUUUCUGGCCUGUUUCCUGAGGCUGUUAAGAAGAGCCAGAGAUCAAGAAUUUGAGUCUUUGAAUGCAAAAUAAAAAGUAUUGCCAAUGGAA
rnacentral:lncRNA from 1 species